AUCUCAGUUCGGAUUGGAGGCUGAAACCCGCCUCCAUGAAGUUGGAUUCGCUAGUAACCGCGCAUCAGCCAUGGCGCGGUGAAUACGUUCCCGGGCCUUGUACACACCGCCCGUCAAGCCAUGGGAGCUGGGGGGUGCCUGAAGUUCGUGACCGCAAGGAUCGACCUAGGGCAAAACCGGUGACUGGGGCUAAGUCGUAACAAGGUACC
rnacentral:rRNA from 1 species